rnacentral:rRNA from 1 species
GAAAUGCGAUAAGUAAUGUGAAUUGCAGAAUUCAGUGAAUCAUCGAAUCUUUGAACGCACCUUGCGCCCCUUGGUAUUCCGAGGGGCAUGCCUGUUUGAGUGUCAUUAAAUUCUCAACCUUAAAAACUUUUUGUUUCUGAGGCUUGGAUGUGGAGGUUUGCUGGCUUAUAACAGAGUCGGCUCCUCUUAAAUGCAUUAGUGGAAGACUACUUGUGUGGACCACAUUGGUGUGAUAAUUAUCUACACCAUUGUUUGUGUUCCAUGGGCUCAUUCAUAUAAAAGCAUCUCGAAUGUAAUCUCUUUACAUUUCGGUUUUGAAAGUUGCAUUGACUUGCUCUUUCUGGCUUGAUUGAGUUUUAGACAUCUGCUUCAAACUGUCCUAAGUUACUGGACAAAUCUAUUUGACUUGUUUGACCUCAAAUCAGGUAGGACUACCCGCUGAACUUAA